UAUUGAUCCUAAAGAACUAGCCUAUCCUGUGAAUACACCAAGAGAAAGGACAACUUAUGGCAUAUAUAAUGUACUGUUGGCGAUUAAGAAAAGGAAACCAUUUCUUGUGAGUGAUAAAGGACAAACAGAAUUGAAGGAGAUCCUACCUGAUGAAUCAUUAUCAGAUAUUAGUAACCUGUCACUAUUAGGAGGACGUGAUAUUAAGGAAGUGAUCGAAAUAAAGCCUAAUGUAUUCAACACAGAUGUCACUACAAUAAAGCUAGAUAUUAAAGAUCUUGAUAUUGUCAUUGAAGAGCUAACAAUACUCAAUCAAUUGGAUUGCACUAAAUGGAUUCAGUUUGGACUUCAUUUAGGAUUAUACGAGCCUAGACUAAAGGCUAUAGAUACUGACUAUAGAGGAAAGA
rnacentral:lncRNA from 1 species